ACAUGUCGACCAGAGCUUGGUACGUCCGACUUUUAUUGCCGGUUAUCAAAUUGAUCAUCCUGCUUGUAUUCGUGGUCGACCACAUGGAUUCUUGUGGCCUAAAAAAUCCCUGUAGUUCUGCCUGCCAGUUUUUGAAACCCGGUAACUGUCGCCGAUCGCCAUAAAUAAACCAUUUCCACUUUAUCUGGAACUUGGAAGAAUAUCGGACUAAACAAGAACAACCUCUAUAAGGCAGUAAAUCAAAACAUCGAUGGGAGAACCGUGUAUUAUAUUUUUGCAUAUAUGUAAAACUGGAAAUAUGUACCUGGAAUUAUAGAUGUUGUAAUAGUUUCACUACAUCAUGGACGAUAAUUUAGACAAACUAUUUAGCCUCGAAUGGAAAAUCAUUCUUAUUUUGGCUAUG